GACGAACGCUGGCGGCGCGCCUAACACAUGCAAGUCGAACGAGCGAGAGGAGGUUUACUUUCUCAAGCGAGUGGCGAACGGGUGAGUAACGCGUGAGGAACCUGCCUCAAAGAGGGGGACAACAGUUGGAAACGACUGCUAAUACCGCAUAAGCCCACGACCCGGCAUCGGGUAGAGGGAAAAGGAGCAAUCCGCUUUGAGAUGGCCUCGCGUCCGAUUAGCUAGUUGGUGAGGUAAUGGCCCACCAAGGCGACGAUCGGUAGCCGGACUGAGAGGUUGAACGGCCACAUUGGGACUGAGACACGGCCCAGACUCCUACGGGAGGCAGCAGUGGGGAAUAUUGCACAAUGGGGGAAACCCUGAUGCAGCGACGUCGCGUGGAGGAAGAAGGUCUUCGGAUUGUAAACUCCUGUUGUUGAGGAAGAUAAUGACGGUACUCAACAAGGAAGUGACGGCUAACUACGUGCCAGCAGCCGCGGUAAAACGUAGGUCACAAGCGUUGUCCGGAAUUACUGGGUGUAAAGGGAGCGCAGGCGGGAAGACAAGUUGGAAGUGAAAUCCAUGGGCUCAACCCAUGAACUGCUUUCAAAACUGUUUUUCUUGAGUAGUGCAAAAGGAAAGUGGAAUUCCCGGUGUAGCGGUGAAAUGCGCAGAUAUAUGGAGGAACACCAGUGGCGAAGGCGACUUUCUGGUCUGUAACUGACGCUGAUGUGCGAAAGCGUGGGGAUCAAACAGGAUUAGAUACCCUGGUAGUCCACGCCGUAAACGAUGAUUACUAAGUGUUGGAGGAUUGACCCCUUCAGUGCCGCAGUUAACACAAUAAGUAAUCCACCUGGGGAGUACGACCGCAAGGUUGAAACUCAAAGGAAUUGACGGGGGCCCGCACAAGCAGUGGAGUAUGUGGUUUAAUUCGACGCAACGCGAAGAACCUUACCAAGUCUUGACAUCCUGCGACGGACAUAGAAAUAUGUUUUUCCUUCGGGACGCAGAGACAGGUGGUGCAUGGUUGUCGUCAGCUCGUGUCGUGAGAUGUUGGGUUAGGUCCCGCAACGAGCGCAACCCUUAUGGUCAGUUACUACGCAAGAGGACUCUGGCCAGACUGCCGUUGACAAAACGGAGGAAGGUGGGGAUGACGUCAAAUCAUCAUGCCCUUUAUGACUUGGGCUACACACGUACUACAAUGGCGUUAAACAAAGAGAAGCAAGACCGCGAGGUGGAGCAAAACUCAGAAACAACGUCCCAGUUCGGACUGCAGGCUGCAACUCGCCUGCGCGAAGUCGGAAUUGCUAGUAAUCGCAGAUCAGCAUGCUGCGGUGAAUACGUUCCCGGGCCUU
rnacentral:rRNA from 1 species